rnacentral:ncRNA from 2 species
CGGAGGUAGGGUCCAGCGGCUGGAA